AUACGUAGGGUGCGAGCGUUGUCCGGAAUUACUGGGCGUAAAGAGCUCGUAGGUGGUUUGUCGCGUCGUCUGUGAAAUUCCGGGGCUUAACUCCGGGCGUGCAGGCGAUACGGGCAUAACUUGAGUACUGUAGGGGAGACUGGAAUUCCUGGUGUAGCGGUGAAAUGCGCAGAUAUCAGGAGGAACACCGGUGGCGAAGGCGGGUCUCUGGGCAGUAACUGAGGCUGAGGAGCGAAAGCAUGGGUAGCAAACAGGAUUAGAUUCCCUGGUAGUCCAUGCCGUAAACGGUGGGCGCUAGGUGUAGGGGUCUUCCACGACUUCUGUGCCGUAGCUAACGCAUUAAGCGCCCCGCCUGGGGAGUACGGCCGCAAGGCUAAAACUCAAAUGAAUUGGCGGGG
rnacentral:rRNA from 1 species